rnacentral:tRNA from 1 species
ACCUGGUUAGCUCAGUCGGUAGAGCGCUUCAUUGGAAAUGGAGAGGUCCCCGAUUCGAAACCAGGCG